rnacentral:rRNA from 1 species
AUUGAACGCUGGCGGAAUGCUUUACAUAUGCAAGUCGAACGAUGAGAAAGAGCUUGCUCUUUCGAUUAGUGGCGGACGGGUGCGUAACGCGUAGGAAUCUACCUAUUAGUGGGGGACAACUUAGGGAAACUUAAGCUAAUACCGCAUACGCCCUACGGGGGAAAGAAGGGGAUCGCAAGACCUUUUGCUAAUAGAUGAGCCUGCGUAGGAUUAGCUAGUUGGUGGGGUAAAAGCUCACCAAGGCGACGAUCCUUAACUGGUUUGAGAGAAUGAGCAGGCAAACUGGAACUGAGACACGGUCCAGACGCCUCCGGGAGGCAGCAGUGGGGAAUAUUGGACAAUGGGCGAAAGCCUGAUCCAGCAAUACCGCGUGUGUGAAGAAGGCCUUAGGUUUGUAAAGCACUUUCAAUUGGAAGGAAAACCUCGAAGCUAAUACCUUCGAGUUUGACAUUACCUUUAGAAGAAGCACCGGCUAACUCCGUGCCAGCCGCUGCCGUAA